rnacentral:lncRNA from 1 species
GCAGGUGUGCAGGUGGAUCUCUUGAGUUUGAUAUCAGCCAAAUCUAUAUAUAGUAGCAGAGAAGAACAAGGGGAUGGGCCCUCCCCGGGAGCAUUUUACAAACCAUGGAGACAACACAAAAGUAGCGGCAGGGAGCGUGAGGGCUGAGACGGGACAUCCCAGAGGGCAGCCUUCGCGGUCAAGCUGGGCACCUCCGACUCUCAGGAGGGCCACACCCAAGCCUGCCUUCCCCACCCAUUUGAGGAAUGGACUUUUGGGUUAGCUGGAAAGAAGAGCAGCUGAGAGAGGCUCCUGAUCAGGCCUCGAUCCCAUCUCUGGCAGGGAGUGCUACAAAACCAAAAAUAAACCUAGCCUAAUUGCUGGAUCGCCAGGCCCACGAUGACAUCGCAGGAUAAAAAAGACUAAGCAGACCACUUCAGGUUCUUCCAGCUUGCGGUACCAUGGCUUUGAGGGUCCUGCUGCUCGGCCCCAUGUCCCCAAAGCCAUGGCAGGGCCUCCCUUGGAUCCUUUCAUCAGGGGAAGGAGUGAGGUAUAAGGGCUUCGUGCCUUCCCAAAUGUUUUCUGGAGACAGAGGAUAUGAGGGCACCAAGAGCUGAAAAGUAGCACUGUCCCACUGUGCACCAGAUUGGGGGGGGUUACACCUGCAGUCCAGACUUCUAGGGGAGCCCCAACUUCAAAUACUCUGGUCACUCAGACCACAUAUACCAAUUUUUGGCAAAACAUGGUCACUGAGAGAAACAACCACAAGAGAAGCUGAGAGAGGACAAUGACUUUGGUAUGAGGAAGACGUCCUCUCAGCAUCUCUUACCUACAGUCUUGAAGCCCAGACAACUGCCCUAGUCAGGAACUCUCCUAUUUCCUCAAGGUAUUUGGUGCUCCGAGGGGAAUGGAGUAAGUCAGGUGCAGGGGAAGCAAAGGGACACAGAGAAAAAGAAAGAAAUCCCCAUUUGUCUCCUGAACCCAAGGAAAGGGGCUCUACCUCAGGGAGCCAAGGAACCUUGAACAUUCGACUCCAAGAGCUACAGCAGCAGCCAUGGGGCUAUACAGGUAUUGUAGGCACGGGUGUUGGGGUCAUCUGCGCACAGGACAUCCUUGCUCUCUAAAACUUCCUCCAGCCCAUUUUCUCUUGCAGCCUCUGGUUAGACUCUAGGAAUGGCUCUGCUCAACCAGGCUUUAGCUUCCUGGAUCUCUGAAGGUACUCAGUGCACAAGUUCCCAGAAAAAAACAAAAACAAAACCAACAACAACAGAAGACAAGCAACCCAGGCUUUUCUGCCUGUCCGCCUCAGUUCCUUUUCUGCUUCCAGGAAACAUGUUUCUGCUCCAUGGAGAUGGGAUGCCAGUGGUGGAAGACAAGGAAAGAAAGAGAGCCACUCUGCAGGAGCACGGUGGAAAAGGUGCACUUUCCCAGGCCAUGGUACUAGAGUCACCCAUCGUUAGCAGCCACCAACUGGCCCAUGCCCUCUCGGAUGUAGACAGACUGGAUCUCCUUGGUCUUGAGGCAAAGAUCACAGGCCCAGACGGCAGAGGCCUCGGUGGUCAGCAGGCCGUAGGCACUCUCGGUCAUGCCGGUGCACUCGCGGUGAAACCACUUCUGGCAGGAGGCCUCACACAGAAUGGCAUCCUGGUCAUCAUUUACCUCACUACGGCAGGCACCGCAGGGGUACACCAGGCCUGGGGGAGGCUGGGGCCCUGAGCCUCCCCCUGCCUUGCCGGGGGGUGCCAGACUGUUGGCAUCUGGAGUGCCCCCACCUCGACCACUGCUGCUAGGGGGGAAACUGGGCUGAUUCCCAUUGACAGCAGCAGCGGGGGAGCCCGAAUGGGGCUCCUGGGGAAAGGCGGUGGGAGCCGGUGGGUUCAAGGGCUUCCCACCAUCCUCACCGCCAGGGCCAGGAAAACCAGGGUCUGGACCAGGGAAGGGACUUGUGUUGGGGGGCAGGCUGGGGAGUCCCUGACCAGGUCUCUGAAGAGAAGGACCAAAAGGUGCUCCUGGUUGGGUAAAGCGUUGGGGGAGAGGAGGAGGACCCAGCUCCCCUCUAGGAGGCUGUCCCAUGGUCGGUGAGAUCAUGGGACCAAAUCCGCCUACUGGGCCUGGCAUCACCUGCCCACCAGGUGGGCUAAAGUUUUGGCCCAGAGACUGGUUGAAGGGUUGACUGGGAAAGUUCAUGUUGCCAGGGGGCGGGUAGCCAGGGCCCUGAGGGGGCAUAUUAAAAGCUGGACCCAUAGGGUUGGGGGGAAAAGGAGGGGGCUGCCGACGAAGUGGCUGGGGACCCCCUCCUCCUCCAGUGCCGUAGCCUGGGGGUACCUGGCCUGCCAUGCCCCCCUGUACACGAAAGCCUCCAAAGGGCACCGGACUGCCGAGGAACGGAGGGCCUGCGCCCCCCACUUUAGGGGCUCCGAAAUCAUCCUCAAAAGGGUUAGAAGCGACCAGAUGAUCCACCAUGGGGGUCGGGGGUGGGGCGAACUCCGUCAGAUGUGAAUAUGCAGGACCCUGGUGAAAACAGGAAGAAGAUGGGAGACAGAGGCCAACAAGGAGAGCACCGCAGACACAACACACUCUUUGGAGGCUGACGCAGCUCAGAUCCAAACCUCUGGCUGACCUUAGACACGCUAGAGGGUGCAAGGCAAAGCCCAUGGUGCAACAACCCCACGGUGCAACCGCAUUGUUUAAAAAACCAAAACUCCAACAAGGCAGAUAGGGUUGGAGGGAUAGCUCAGUGGUUAAGCACCAGAGUGAUUCCUAGUACCCAUGUUGGAGGG